rnacentral:rRNA from 1 species
CAGGCCUAACACAUGCAAGUCGAACGGCAGCGCGGGAGCAAUCCUGGCGGCGAGUGGCGAACGGGUGAGUAAUAUAUCGGAACGUGCCCAUUAGUGGGGGAUAGCCCGGCGAAAGCCGGAUUAAUACCGCAUACGACCUGAGGGUGAAAGCGGGGGAUCGCAAGACCUCGCGCUAUUGGAGCGGCCGAUAUCAGAUUAGCUAGUUGGUGGGGUAAAGGCCUACCAAGGCAACGAUCUGUAGUUGGUCUGAGAGGACGACCAGCCACACUGGGACUGAGACACGGCCCAGACUCCUACGGGAGGCAGCAGUGGGGAAUUUUGGACAAUGGGCGCAAGCCUGAUCCAGCAAUGCCGCGUGCAGGAAGAAGGCCUUCGGGUUGUAAACUGCUUUUGUCAGGGAAGAAAUCCUUUGGGUUAAUACCUCGGAGGGAUGACGGUACCUGAAGAAUAAGCACCGGCUAACUACGUGCCAGCAGCCGCGGUAAU